GUUUGAUCUGGCUCAGGAUGAACGCUGGCGGUAUGCUUAACACAUGCAAGUCGAACGGGGGUAGAAAUACCCUAGUGGCGGACGGGUGAGUAACGCGUGAGAAUCUAGCUUCAGGUCGGGGAUAACAGAGGGAAACCGCUGCUAAUACCGGAUGAACCUACGGGUGAAAGAUUAAUUGCCAGAAGAUGAGCUCGCGUCCGAUUAGCUAGUUGGCAGGGUAAUGGCCUACCAAGGCGGCGAUCGGUAGCUGGUCUGAGAGGACGAUCAGCCACACUGGGACUGAGACACGGCCCAGACUCCUACGGGAGGCAGCAGUGGGGAAUUUUCCGCAAUGGGCGAAAGCCUGACGGAGCAAUACCGCGUGAGGGAGGAAGGCUCUUGGGUUGUAAACCUCUUUUCUCAAGGAAGAAGCAAUGACGGUACUUGAGGAAUCAGCAUCGGCUAACUCCGUGCCAGCAGCCGCGGUAAUACGGAGGAUGCAAGCGUUAUCCGGAAUGAUUGGGCGUAAAGCGUCCGCAGGUGGCAAUGCAAGUCUGCUGUCAAAGGCUGGGGCUUAACUCCAGACAGGCAGUGGAAACUGCAUCAGCUAGAGUGCGGUAGGGGCAGAGGGAAUUCCCGGUGUAGCGGUGAAAUGCGUAGAGAUCGGGAAGAACACCAGUGGCGAAAGCGCUCUGCUGGACCUGCACUGACACUCAGGGACGAAAGCUAGGGGAGCGAAUGGGAUUAGAUACCCCAGUAGUCCUAGCCGUAAACGAUGGAUACUAGGUGUUGUGAGUAUCGACCCUCACAGUGCCGCAGCUAACGCGCUAAGUAUCCCGCCUGGGGAGUACGCACGCAAGUGUGAAACUCAAAGGAAUUGACGGGGGCCCGCACAAGCGGUGGAGUAUGUGGUUUAAUUCGAUGCAACGCGAAGAACCUUACCAGGGCUUGACAUGUCCGGAACCUUUGGGAAACCAGAGGGUGCCUUCGGGAGCCGGAACACAGGUGGUGCAUGGCUGUCGUCAGCUCGUGUCGUGAGAUGUUGGGUUAAGUCCCGCAACGAGCGCAACCCUCGUUUUUAGUUGCCAGCAUUCAGUUGGGCACUCUGAAGAGACUGCCGGUGACAAACCGGAGGAAGGUGGGGAUGACGUCAAGUCAGCAUGCCCCUUACGUCCUGGGCUACACACGUACUACAAUGCUUCAGACAAAGGGCAGCUAGCCAGCGAUGGUCUGCUAAUCCCAUAAACUGAGGCUCAGUUCAGAUCGCAGGCUGCAACUCGCCUGCGUGAAGGCGGAAUCGCUAGUAAUCGCCGGUCAGCAUACGGCGGUGAAUACGUUCCCGGGCCUUGUACACACCGCCCGUCACACCAUGGGAGCUGGCGGUGCCCGAAGUCGUUAUCCUAACCCCUCGGGGAGGGAGACGCCGAAGGCAAAGCUGGUUACUGGGGUGAAGUCGUAACAAGGUAACCGUA
rnacentral:rRNA from 1 species